UGACUGUUCCUGUUUCUGUGUAGUUUCACCAGAUAGGCUGUAUUAGGUUUCACGUUCCGUUUGGUUGUUUUGUAUUUAUUAAGUUAUUUCAUGUAUCGUCACUUUUUCUUCAUUAAAGAACAUGAGUAACCACCACGCUGCAUUUCGGUCCGACUCUCUUUCUACAAACGAAGAACGCUGUUACAGAAUCACCCACCACAUACGGACCGAGCGGCGUGGAAACAGGCAGCGACCGCAGGAAAGCGAAAGGAGGAAUGGACAUGGGAAGACGUAUUGGAUGGCAAAGGUUGUUACACUUGGGAGGAGAUACUGGCUGGAAGAGAUCGCCUCCCAUGGGAACAGGUGGAAGCACUGAGGAGAGCAGAGGCAGCCAAAGAUAAGAGUCGACGAUACGAGGGAACACGGUUGGCAAGGAAACCCGAAAAGCACCCCCAAAAAUGUAUUGGGGGGGGGCUCAGAGGGAGAGUGGCUGAGUCGGGUGUCAGACCUGAGCCAACUCUCCCUGCUAAUCGUGAAGAGCAGUUGCAGUGGGAGAGGCUGCAUCACUUGGAGUAUUGGACAUGGGAGGAGGAACUGGACGGAAAAGGACCCUGGGCUCAGCCUGGAGAAUAUCGCCGUCCCAAGGAAGAACUAGAGGCGGCUAAAGCAGAGAGGCGCUGGUAUGAGGAGGCAGCACGGCGACGCGGAUGGAAGCCUGAGAGUCGGCCCCAAAAAUUUAUUGGGGGGGGGGGCUUACAGGGAGUAUGGCUAUGCCAGGUAGGAGACCUGCGCAAACUCCCUGUGCUUACCGGGGGGCUAAAGAGACCGGGCAGGCACCGUGUUAUGCUAGUGAGCGCACGGUGUCUCCAGUGCGGGUGCAUAGCCCGGUACGGUUCAUACCAGCCCUUCGUAUUGGCCGGGCUAGAGUGGGCAUCGAGCCAGGUAAGCUUGGGCAGGCUCGGUGCUCAAGAGCCCCAGUGCGCCUGCACGGUCCGGCGUGUCCUCGCUCCAGUAUCACCAGUGCCCGCACCACGCAUCAGGACUACAGUGCGCCUCGCCUCUCCUGCUCUGUCGGAGUCUCCCGCCUGUUCAGCACAGCCAGAGCCUUCCUUCCCUCCUGCGCUGUCGGAGUCUCCCGCCUGUUCAGCGCAGCCAGCGUUUUCCUCCUCUCCUGCGCUGUCGGAGUCUCCCGCCUGUUCAGCGCUAUCAGAGCCUUCCUUCUCUACAGCGCUGCCGGAGCCUCCUGCCUGUUUGAAGCAGCCUGAGCUGCCAGUCUGCAGGGUGCUGUCAGCCUGCAUGGAGCAGUUAGAGAUGUCAGUCUGCAUGAAGCAGCCAGAGAUGUCAGUCUGCAGGGAGCUGUCAGUCUGCAGGGAGCUGUCAGUCUGCAGGGAGCUGCCAGUCUGGAAGGAGCUGUCAGUCUGCAAGGAGCUGUCAGUCUGCAAGGAGCUGUCAG
rnacentral:lncRNA from 1 species